rnacentral:rRNA from 1 species
UACGUAGGGUGCGAGCGUUGUCCGGAAUUAUUGGGCGUAAAGAGCUUGUAAGCGGUUUGUCGCGUCUGCCGUGAAAAUUCGAGGCUCAACCUCGAACUUGCGGUGGGUACGGGCAGACUAGAGUGUGGUAGGGGAGACUGGAAUUCCUGGUGUAGCGGUGAAAUGCGCAGAUAUCAGGAGGAACACCGAUGGCGAAGGCAGGUCUCUGGGCCACUACUGACGCUGAGAAGCGAAAGCAUGGGGAGCGAACAGG